AACGAACGCUGGCGGCAGGCUUAACACAUGCAAGUCAAACGGGCGUAGCAAUACGUCAGUGGCAGACGGGUGAGUAACACGUGGGAAUAUCCCUUUCAGCUCGGAAUAACUCAGGGAAACUUGAGCUAAUACCGAAUACGUCCUUCGGGAGAAAGAUUUAUCACUGAGAGAUUAGCCCGCGUCUGAUUAGCUAGUUGGUGAGGUAAUGGCUCACCAAGGCGACGAUCAGUAGCUUGUCUGAGAGGAUGAUCAGCCACACUGGGACUGAGACACGGCCCAGACUCCUACGGGAGGCAGCAGUGGGGAAUAUUGGACAAUGGGGGCAACCCUGAUCCAGCCAUGCCGCGUGAGUGAUGAAGGCCUUAGGGUUGUAAAGCUCUUUUGCUGGGGAAGAUAAUGACUGUACCGGGAGAAUAAGCUCCGGCUAACUUCGUGCCAGCAGCCGCCGUAA
rnacentral:rRNA from 1 species